UAGGAAUUGGCGGGGGAGCACCACAACGGGUGGAGCUUGCGGUUUAAUUGGAUUCAACGCCGGAAAUCUUACCGGGACCGACAGCGAUAUGAAGGCCAGGCUGAAGACUUUGCCGGAUUAGCUGAGAGGUGGUGCAUGGCCGUCGUCAGUUCGUACUGUGAAGCAUCCUGUUAAGUCAGGCAACGAGCGAGACCCACGCCCACAGUUGCCAGCGUACUCUCCGGAGUGACGGGUACACUGUGGGGACCGCCGCUGCUAAAGCGGAGGAAGGAAUGGGCAACGGUAGGUCAGUAUGCCCCGAAUAUCCCGGGCUACACGCGAGCUACAAUGGUUGGUACAAUGGGUAUCUACCCCGAAAGGGGAUGGGAAUCUCCUAAAACCAAUCUUAGUCCGGAUUGAGGGCUGCAACUCGCCCUCAUGAAGCUGGAAUCCGUAGUAAUCGCGUUUCAACAGAACGCGGUGAAUACGUCCCUGCUCCUUGCACACACCGCCCGUCAAACCACCCGAGUAGGGUCUGAAUGAGAGCGCUUCCUCUGGAGGCGUUCGAAUUUGGGCUUUGCAAGGGGGGUUAAGUCGUAACAAGGUAGCCUCAGUCAGUCA
rnacentral:rRNA from 1 species